GGAAAAGAAUGGGACUCGUGGGUAUCCUUGCAAACGUCAUAACAGGAUCCAAGCAACAUCUCACCAUCCAUGAACGGCCCCAUCUCUGCCAUCCAGCCUCCAGCCUCCAGCCUCCAGCCUCUGAUUUGGCAUUUCCCCUCAUUCUGUAUUUCUCUUUCUUUCCGCUUUUUAUUUCCCAGUCAGCUUGAAAGUUUGUAAAAACCGAAAGAGGGAGGGGCAAGAUGCCGGAAGAGUAGGGUCCCCAAGUCACCUGUCCCCACCAAAUUACCUAGAUAACCUUCAAAUCAUCCUGAAAAUCUACGAAUUCAGCCUGAGAUUUAAAGAGAGAACAGCUGGAAUGCUACAGUGAGAAGAGUUCACGCUUCUAUCAAGAGGACAUUAACAAGAUUAAAUUUAUGAGUUUAUUUCCACGAAGUCAGAAUUUCUAAAUCCAAGACCCUCCAAUCAAGUAGACACUGUCCCAACAAUGGGCAGGACACCCAUGUGCCUGGAUGCUGUGAAGCCCUCCUGGACAGAGACUGUCUCUUUUCUCCCUGAUGCCCCAAUCUCUCUCAGCCUCCAUGGGAGAAACACUGCUGAGAAGGCCUUUUGCUAUUACCUCUCUUCUGCUAUAGUUCUGGAUGCACAUGUUGAUGUGGAAGUGUUCUAUGAUCGAAGAGACCUGGAUUGUUCAGCCAACUCACAGAGGACAGCGGUCCGGAAGAUUGUCUGUACUCCUUGGGUGUUUUACAUAAGGGAGAAAUAAACUCUGUG